rnacentral:rRNA from 1 species
CCUACGGGAGGCAGCAGUGGGGAAUUUUGGACAAUGGACGCAAGCCUGAUCCAGCCAUGCCGCGUGCGGGAAGAAGGCCUUCGGGUUGUAAACCGCUUUUGUGGAGAGAUCGGUACCUGAAGAAUAAGCACCGGCUAACUACGUGCCAGCAGCCGCGGUAAUACGGAGGGUGCAAGCGUUAAUCGGAAUUACUGGGCGUAAAGCGUGCGCAGGCGGUUAUGCAAGACAGAUGUGAAAUCCCCGGGCUCAGCCUGGGAACUGCAUUUGUGACUGCAUAGCUAGAGUACGGUAGAGGGGGAUGGAAUUCCGCGUGUAGCAGUGAAAUGCGUAGAUAUGCGGAGGAACACCGAUGGCGAAGGCAAUCCCCUGGCCGUACUGACGCUCAUGUACGAAAGCGUGGGGAGCAAACAGGAUUAGAUACCCUAGUAGUC